GUACUCCUCGGGAGGCCACGCCUUUGGAAGUUGGUUCCCAGUGGGCCCCAUAGCCUGUCCCGUGCCGUGGCACCAGUACAGUCUCUCCACAUCCUGAAGUGGCUCGACCCCCUUGCAGGGCAUCUCCUGGAAACCAUUUGGGGCACUGGAAGCGGCCAGGUUCCAAAGCGCCAAGGACCAGGUCCCGGAGCUGGGACCAGGCAAGGUACCAAGGAGCAUGUCUCUUCCAGAGCAUUGGACCACUCUGCGCCUUUCGUAAGAGCAGCAGCCCUCUCUGACCUCCACUGUGGAUGAUCUAAAUGAGGGGUCAAAAGCCCAAAUGCUGGCAGAGACCAGGUGGGGAAUGUGGGGCAAAGCUGGCUGGAUAGGGACUGUGGCAAAUUUGAGAACAAAUGUCCUUCAAAGGGAAGCAGCUGCUGUUCUGCUUGGAAGUCUAUUGCCAUGCACGAAAGUAAGCUAGGUGUAGCCAGAUCUUUUUUGAAAAGCAAAGGCAGAGCCAGGCAUGGUGGUGCAUGCCAAUAAUCCCAGCACACUGCAUAGUGAGUUCUAGGCCUGCCUGAACUACAUAGUGAGGCCCUGUCUCAAAAGACCGAAAUAAAUAAAUAGAAGCAAAGGCAGACAAUGACUUAUCUGAAAAGGAAGUCAUGAAGACAACUCCCUUUAUAACAGCAUCGAAAAGAACAUACUUAGGAAAUACUUAGGAAUAAACUCAACCAAGGAGAUGAAAGACUGGUACACUGAAAGCAACAAAACAUUGCUAAAAGAAAUGAUAGAAGACAUAAAUAAAUGGGAAGACACCCCAUGUUUAUGAAUCAGAAGACUGAAUAUUGUUAAGAGGUCGAUACUACCCAGAGAAAUCUACAGAUUUAAUACAAUGCUUAUCAAAAUCUUACCAGCACUUUAUGUAGAAAUAGAAAAUGCCAUCCUAAAAUUCAGAUGAAAUAUCAAGGGAUCCCAAAUAGUUGAAGCAACCUUAAAAAAGAAAAAAGCUGGAGGCCUCACAAUGAUCAAUUUCGAAACUGUAAAGUGAUAGUAAUCAAAAUGGUAUGGUACUGGUAUAAAGAGAGACACACAGACCAGUGGAAUACUACAGAGCACUCAGAAAUAAGCCCUUGUAUAUAUGAUCAGUGACUUUCAAUGAAGGUGCCAUGACCAGGCCACAAAGAAAGCAUAGUCACUUCAUCAAAUGGUGUUGUGAAAACUAAAGUUUACAAUGCAAAAGAGUUUGUGCAUUUUCCUUGUACCACGUUAAAAAUAUAAAUCAAGAUAAAUCAAAGACCUAAGUAUAAGACCUAAAUGAUAAAGCUCUUAUAAGAAGACAUAGGGAAAACUCUUCAUGACAUUGGAUUUGUUAGCAAUUUUUUAUAUGAUGCCAAAAGCACAGGCAAUAAAAGUAAAAAUGAUAAAUGGGACUUCAUUGAAUUUCAAAACUUAUGCCCAUCAAAGGACACAGUCAACAGGACGAAAAGUCAAUCUGUGGAAUCAGAGAAAAUAUUUUCAAGUCCUGCACCUCAUAAGAGGUUACAACAACACAAUUUUUCAUGUGAAAAAAUUGCAAAGGUAGAGACCUAAAUUUUUAUGUGAAAUUUCCCAAUUUGGAAACUUUAGCAAUUGUCCUGAACCUAUAGCUGCCUGCCUACCAACUAUAUCCCCCUCUUUGAUAAUAAAAAUGCAAGAGCCCCAAAUGUG